UGGCUGCAGCCUCGUCUCAGCCCCGGUGAAGCCGAGCACCGUGGGCUCCCCGAGGCUGCACAGACUAACCUGAGGGUGAACAGGCGUGACUCCUGGAGGAGCAGGCGCUCGCGUGCGAUCAUCCUUGGACAAGGCCUCCUGCUUUCCACGGUAGUGACGGCCUGGAUCAGUGGCUCUCACUGUUCUUGAAGCAGGUAGAGGAAAGUCCAGCAGCCAGAUGUUGUUUGAAUCAGAGGGAGUUUCACCUGUCAGACCCUGUCAGCUGCCACAACA